CUUAAAUCAUAAACAAGAGAAGUAGCUGGAAACGAAGGAAUUACAGAAAGUUUCGGUUGAUGAGAAGAAACAUUCUUUUCUCCAGUGAAUGGACUUGUUGGAGCGUUCUUGAACAAUAGUAGGGAACGACGGGAGCUCCCGUUAUAGAGUACGAUCGUUGUUGGACGAUUAGAGUGCUGUCAGCGUGACAGUAAAAGAGGUGGUACCGUGCUAUUUGCGCCCUCAGA
rnacentral:ncRNA from 1 species